rnacentral:sRNA from 1 species
AGGACAGAGUCAGUGGCUGAGAAGAUGCUUACCAACUGGUUCACAUUCCUGCUGCAUAAGUUUCUGAAGGUGUGCCAGGUGGGCGGGCGGCAGGGAGGUGGUGGCAGAGGACCGGCCAGUGGUCAGGCAGGCAGCCAGCUGUGCACCUGUCCCUGGCUGCAGGAGUGCGCUGGGGAGCCUCUCUUCCUGCUUUACUGUGCCAUCAAGCAGCAGAUGGAGAAGGGCCCCAUUGAUGCCAUCACGGGCGAGGCACGAUACUCCCUGAGCGAGGACAAGCUCAUCCGUCAGCAGAUCGACUACAAGACACUGACCCUUCACUGCGUGUGUCCGGAGAACGAGAGCAGUGCCCAGGUCCCAGUGAAGGUUCUCAACUGUGACAGCAUCACCCAGGCCAAAGAUAAGCUGCUGGACACUGUGUACAAGGGCAUUCCGUACUCCCAGCGCCCCAAAGCUGAGGACAUGGACCUGGGUGAGGUCCCCACCCUCUCCUCCUGGCUCCCACUCAUCCCCUCCUGUGCCGUGUGACCUCUGUGGGCUCUGCCGCUCCCCACCUGAACCCUGUUCCCUAAGAGGAGUGGGCCGGGACUUGGGGGCUGCCAGCAU